UGGGGAAUAUUGGACAAUGGGCGCAAGCCUGAUCCAGCCAUACCGCGUGAGUGAAGAAGGCCUUCGGGUUGUAAAGCUCUUUCAGACGGAAAGAAACGGUUACGGCUAAUACCCGUGACUAAUGACGGUACCGUAAGAAGAAGCACCGGCUAACUACGUGCCAGCAGCCGCGGUAAUACGUAGGGUGCGAGCGUUAAUCGGAAUUACUGGGCGUAAAGCGUGCGCAGGCGGUUUGGUAAGACAGAUGUGAAAUCCCCGGGCUUAACCUGGGAACUGCAUUUGUGACUGCCAGACUAGAGUGUAGCAGAGGGGGGUAGAAUUCCACGUGUAGCAGUGAAAUGCGUAGAUAUGUGGAGGAAUACCGAUGGCGAAGGCAGCCCCCUGGGCUAACACUGACGCUCAUGCACGAAAGCGUGGGGAGCAAGCAGGAUUAGAUACCCGCGUAGUCCCUGAGCGGGCUGGCAAGGCGCAU
rnacentral:rRNA from 1 species